UUGGGGAUUUAGCUCAGUGGUAGAGCGCGUGCCUAGGAAGCACAAGGUCCUGGGUUCGGUCCCCAGCUCCAAA
rnacentral:tRNA from 1 species